UCCCUUUUAGUAACGGCGAGUGAAGCGGCAAAAGCUCAAAUUUGAAAUCUGGUACCUUCGGUGCCCGAGUUGUAAUUUGGAGAGGGCAACUUUGGGGCCGUUCCUUGUCUAUGUUCCUUGGAACAGGACGUCAUAGAGGGUGAGAAUCCCGUGUGGCGAGGAGUGCGGUUCUUUGUAAAGUGCCUUCGAAGAGUCGAGUUGUUUGGGAAUGCAGCUCUAAGUGGGUGGUAAAUUCCAUCUAAAGCUAAAUAUUGGCGAGAGACCGAUAGCGAACAAGUACAGUGAUGGAAAGAUGAAAAGAACUUUGAAAAGAGAGUGAAAAAGUACGUGAAAUUGUUGAAAGGGAAGGGCAUUUGAUCAGACAUGGUGUUUUGUGCCCUCUGCUCCUUGUGGGUAGGGGAAUCUCGCAUUUCACUGGGCCAGCAUCAGUUUUGGUGGCAGGAUAAAUCCAUAGGAAUGUAGCUUGCCUCGGUAAGUAUUAUAGCCUGUGGGAAUACUGCCAGCUGGGACUGAGGACUGCGACGUAAGUCAAGGAUGCUGGCAUAAUGGUUAUAUGCCGCCCGUCUUGAACCACCCGACACACA
rnacentral:rRNA from 1 species